CUACGGGCCGCUCCAGUGAGGAAUAUUGCACAAUGGGGGGAGCCCUGAUGCAGCAACGCCGCGUGGAGGAUGACGCAUUUCGGUGUGUAAACUCCUUUUAUAUGUCAAGAAAAUGACGGUAGCAUAUGAAUAAGCACCGGCUAACUCCGUGCCAGCAGCCGCGGUAAUACGGAGGGUGCAAGCGUUACUCGGAAUCACUGGGCGUAAAGGACGCGUAGGCGGGUUGGAAAGUCAGGUGUGAAAUCCUACAGCUUAACUGUAGAACUGCACUUGAAACUUCUAAUCUAGAGUAUGGGAGGGGGAGAUGGAAUUAGUGGUGUAGGGGUAAGAUCCGUAGAUAUCACUAGGAAUACCUAAAGCGAAGGCGAUCUCCUGGAACAUUACUGACGCUAAGGCGUGAAAGCGUGGGGAGCAAACAGGAUUAGAUACCCGGGUAGUC
rnacentral:rRNA from 1 species